rfam:Danio rerio chromosome 3, GRCz11 reference primary assembly.
GGCUCGUUGGUCUAGGGGUAUGAUUCUCGCUUUGGGUGUGAGAGGUCCUGGGUUCAAAUCCCGGACGAGCCC